rnacentral:rRNA from 1 species
AGUGAACGCUGGCGAUAGGCCUAAUACGUGCAAGUCGAACGGCAGCACAGUAAGAGCUUGCUCUUACGGGUGGCGAGUGGCGGACGGGUGAGGAAUACAUCGGAAUCUACUUUUUCGUGGGGGAUAACGUAGGGAAACUUACGCUAAUACCGCAUACGACCUACGGGUGAAAGCAGGGGAUCUUCGGACCUUGCGCGAUUGAAUGAGCCGAUGUCGGAUUAGCUAGUUGGCGGGGUAAAGGCCCACCAAGGCGACGAUCCGUAGCUGGUCUGAGAGGAUGAUCAGCCACACUGGAACUGAGACACGGUCCAGACUCCUACGGGAGGCAGCAGUGGGGAAUAUUGGACAAUGGGCGCAAGCCUGAUCCAGCCAUACCGCGUGGGUGAAGAAGGCCUUCGGGUUGUAAAGCCCUUUUGUUGGGAAAGAAAAGCAGCAGGUUAAUACCCCGCUGUUCUGACGGUACCCAAAGAAUAAGCACCGGCUAACUUCGUG